GAUCAUUAUUGAAUGAACUUGGUGUGGUUGUCGCUGGCCCUCUUGGGGGCAUGUGCACACCCACCAUCCUCAUCUCUCCACCUGUGCACCUCUUGUAGACUUGGAUUGACUUUCCGAGGCAACUCGGUCGGGAGGACUUGCUGGCACUAGCUGGCUUUCCUUGCAUUUCCAGGUCUACGUUUUUCAUAUACCCCAUUGUAUGUAACAGAAUGUAUCAUUGGGCCUUGUGCCUAUAAACCUUAUACAACUUUCAGCAACGGAUCUCUUGGCUCUCGCAUCGAUGAAGAACGCAGCGAAAUGCGAUAAGUAAUGUGAAUUGCAGAAUUCAGUGAAUCAUCGAAUCUUUGAACGCACCUUGCGCUCCUUGGUAUUCCGAGGAGCAUGCCUGUUUGAGUGUCAUUAAAUUCUCAACCUUUAUCGGCUUUUGUUGAUGAAGGCUUGGAUAUGGGGGCUUAUUUUGCUGGCUUCUUUACAGAUGGUCAGCUCCCCUUAAAUGCAUUAGCCGGUGCCCCGCGUGGACUGUCUAUUGGUGUGAUAAUUAUCUACGCCGUGGACAUCUGCAAUCAUAUGGGUUUGCACUGCUUCUAACUGUCUGUUCAUUCAGACAAUACAUGACAAUUUGACCUCAAAUCAGGUAGGACUACCCGCUGAACUUAAGCAUAUCAAUAAGCGGAGGAAAAGAAACUAACAAGGAUUCCCCUAGUAACUGCGAGUGAAGCGGGAAAAGCUCAAAUUUAAA
rnacentral:sRNA from 1 species